GGGAACAUACCCUUUUCUACGGAAUAGCUCUGGGAAACUGGAAUUAAUACCGUAUACGCCCUACGGGGGAAAGAUUUAUCGGGGAAGGAUUGGCCCGCGUUGGAUUAGCUAGUUGGUGGGGUAAAGACCUACCAAGGCGACGAUCCAUAGCUGGUCUGAGAGGAUGAUCAGCCACAUUGGGACUGAGACACGGCCCAAACUCCUACGGGAGGCAGCAGUGGGGAAUAUUGGACAAUGGGCGCAAGCCUGAUCCAGCCAUGCCGCGUGAGUGAUGAAGGCCUUAGGGUUGUAAAGCUCUUUCACCGAUGAAGAUAAUGACGGUAGUCGGAGAAGAAGCCCCGGCUAACUUCGUGCCAGCAGCCGCGGUAAUACGAAGGGGGCUAGCGUUGUUCGGAAUUACUGGGCGUAAAGCGCACGUAGGCGGAUAUUUAAGUCAGGGGUGAAAUCCCAGAGCUCAACUCUGGAACUGCCUUUGAUACUGGGUAUCUUGAGUAUGGAAGAGGUAAGUGGAAUUGCGAGU
rnacentral:rRNA from 1 species